GCAUAAAAACUGUCUUGGAGUUAACAGCAGUUCUCUGUUUCUCCUGAAUGUUAUGUACAAUUUGAUCGGGAUCGGAAGAAUGUUUCAAAAAGUCGGGCUCAGUGAUCAAUUAAUUUAAACAACAGACCGCCAAAAUUUAACCUUGGCCUCCAUGUUGCAACGUCUGCUCUGUCUAAAGGAAGAAGUUUGUUGACCAGACAGCCUGAGAUCGUAUUGCUGUAUCAACCAAAAGAUGCAGACACACGUAUUUCAUAUGCGGUAGCGUCUGUGCAUGAGGAGGAGAUUUCUGAAAAAGAAUAAGUGCUUAUUCAACUUACUGCGAUUUUAACGGGCUUAAAGCUUGGUCCAUGGAUGGUUAUGUUUGAGGAUUUGCCAAUUCGACCGCAAGUGCUGCUGCAAGAAAUUAAACAUGCAGAGACCUUACAAAUUACAAAGAAGUCUGAAGAAAAUUUUUAUUGGACAGAUGGGUGUAAAGCACAGACCUGAGAUAUAAAUUGAAUUGUGAGAAAUAUGAAUCAGGGAUGCAGGUAGAAAAUGGCAAAUGUGAUCCAGAUUGAUAAAAAAUGUCUAAAAUUUUUUCUUGUUUUGUAAAUAUUCAAUGCUAUGUCAAUUGUUAUUUUUUCCCCAGUACCUAAUAGUGUUGAACAUUUCACUCCCACUUUUGCUUAAAUAGAAUGAAUAAAUUUCCAUUUAUUUAAUAUGAAUAUUAAAAAAUGCCACAUUUUUUCCAUGAACUUGUGGCUUAAAUAAGAGUUCCAGUUUUUUUUCCAUACAUGCUCCUAUUUGUUUGUCAAAGAUAUAAGAUCCAAUACAUUGCUCAUGAACAUAAUGUGUAAUUUUGUUCAUUCAUUUAUAUGUUUUUUUCUCAUAAUGAUAUAAUAAAUUGUAUAUAAUUUU